rnacentral:rRNA from 1 species
AAGCAUUAUACAGCGAAACUGCGAAUGGCUCAUUAUAUAAGUUAUCGUUUAUUUGAUAGUACCUUACUACUUGGAUAACCGUGGUAAUUCUAGAGCUAAUACAUGCUGAAAAUCCCGACUCCGGAAGGGAUGUAUUUAUUAGAUUCAAAACCAAUGCCCUCUGGGCUCACUGGUGAUUCAUGAUAACUGCUCGAAUCGCACGGCCAUGUGCCGGCGAUGGUUCAUUCAAAUUUCUUCCCUAUCAACUUUCGAUGUUUGGGUAGUGGCCAAACAUGGUUGCAACGGGUAACGGAGGGUUAGGGCUCGACCCCGGAGAAGGAGCCUGAGAAACGGCUACUACAUCCAAGGAAGGCAGCAGGCGCGCAAAUUACCCAAUCCCGACACGGGGAGGUAGUGACAAUAAAUACUGAUACAGGGCUCUUUUGGGUCUUGUAAUUGGAAUGAGUACAAUUUAAAUCCCUUAACGAGGAACAAUUGGAGGGCAAGUCUGGUGCCAGCAGCCGCGGUAAUUCCAGCUCCAAUAGCGUAUAUUAAAGUUGUUGUGGUUAAAAAGCUCGUAGUUGAACCUUGGGCCUGGCUGGCCGGUCCGCCUCACCGCGUGCACUGGUCCGGCCGGGCCUUUCCCUCUGUGGAACCCCAUGCCCUUCACUGGGCGUGGCGGGGAAACAGGACUUUUACUUUGAAAAAAUUAGAGUGCUCCAGGCAGGCCUAUGCUCGAAUACAUUAGCAUGGAAUAAUGAAAUAGGACGCGCGGUUCUAUUUUGUUGGUUUCUAGGACCGCCGUAAUGAUUAAUAGGGACAGUCGGGGGCAUCAGUAUUCAAUAGUCAGAGGUGAAAUUCUUGGAUCUAUUGAAGACUAACUACUGCGAAAGCAUUUGUCAAGGAUGUUUUCAUUAAUCAGGAACGAAAGUUAGGGGAUCGAAGACGAUCAGAUACCGUCGUAGUCUUAACCAUAAACUAUGCCGACUAGGGAUCGGACGAUGUUAUUUUUUGACUCGUUCGGCACCUUACGAGAAAUCAAAGUGC